rnacentral:rRNA from 1 species
UGGGGAAUAUUGGACAAUGGGCGGAAGCCUGAUCCAGCAACGCCGCGUGAGGGAUGACGGCCUUCGGGUUGUAAACCUCUUUCAGUGGGGACGAAGCGCAAGUGACGGUACCCACAGAAGAAGCACCGGCCAACUACGUGCCAGCAGCCGCGGUAAUACGUAGGGUGCGAGCGUUGUCCGGAAUUAUUGGGCGUAAAGGGCUCGUAGGCGGUUUGUCGCGUCGGGAGUGAAAACACUGGGCUUAACUCAGUGCUUGCUUCCGAUACGGGCAGACUAGAGGUAUUCAGGGGAGAACGGAAUUCCUGGUGUAGCGGUGAAAUGCGCAGAUAUCAGGAGGAACACCGGUGGCG